AGAGUUUGAUCAUGGCUCAGGAUGAACGCUAGCGGCAGGCCUAACACAUGCAAGUCGAGGGGUAACUAGAGUGAUAGCAAUAUUACUUUGGCUAGACCGGCGCACGGGUGCGUAACACGUAUGCAACCUACCUUAUACUGGGGAAUAACUUCGAGAAAUCGGCGCUAAUACCCCAUAACACUGCGAAGAGGCAUCUCUUUGCAUUUAAAGCUCCGGCGGUAUAAGAUGGGCAUGCGUCCAAUUAGCUAGUUGGUGAGGUAACGGCUCACCAAGGCUACGAUUGGUAGGGGUUCUGAGAGGAUGAUCCCCCACACUGGUACUGAGACACGGACCAGACUCCUACGGGAGGCAGCAGUGAGGAAUAUUGCGCAAUGGACGAAAGUCUGACGCAGCCAUGCCGCGUGCAGGAUGACGGCCCUAUGGGUUGUAAACUGCUUUUGUAUGGGAAUAAACCCUUCUACGUGUAGAAGGCUGAAGGUACCAUAAGAAUAAGCACCGGCUAACUCCGUGCCAGCAGCCGCGGUAAU
rnacentral:rRNA from 1 species